GAUUUCUGACUUAGCGCACCUGGCCCGCCACGUUUACGUGUGUGAGUGCCGGGAUGCGCUUGUCACUUUUCUGGUAAACCAUUGUGCUCUUCAUUGAGUGUGAUGGGUAGCCAGAUAUUUUACUUUGAAAAAAUUAGAGUGUUUAAAGCAGGCGUUUGCUAUGAAUACAUUAGCAUGGAAUAAUAAUUUAGGACUUUGGCCCUAUUUUGUUGGUUUCUAGGACUGAAGUAAUGAUUGAUAGGGAUAGUUGGGGGUGCUCGAAUUCAGCGGCCAGAGGUGAAAUUCUCGGAUUCGCUGAAGACGAACUCAUGCGAAAGCAUU
rnacentral:rRNA from 1 species